rnacentral:rRNA from 1 species
AUUGAACGCUGGCGGCAUGCUUUACACAUGCAAGUCGAACGGUAACAGGCCUUCGGGUGCUGACGAGUGGCGAACGGGUGAGUAAUGCAUCGGAACGUGCCCAAUCGUGGGGGAUAACGUAGCGAAAGUUACGCUAAUACCGCAUAAGCCCUGAGGGGGAAAGUGGGGGACCGCAAGGCCUCACGCGAAUGGAGCGGCCGAUGUCAGAUUAGCUAGUUGGUGGGGUAAAGGCCCACCAAGGCGACGAUCUGUAGCGGGUCUGAGAGGAUGAUCCGCCACACGUGGGACUGAGACACCGGCCCAGACUCCGUACGGGAGGCAGCAGGUGGGGAAUAGUUGGACAAGUCGGGGAAACCCUGAUCCAGCUACGCCGCGU